rnacentral:rRNA from 1 species
CCUACGGGUGGCUGCAGUGGGGAAUAUUGCACAAUGGAGGGAACUCUGAUGCAGCGACGCCGCGUGAGUGAAGAAGGAAUUCGGUAUGUAAAGCUCUAUCAGCAGGGAAGAAAGUGACGGUACGUGAAAAAGAAGCUCCGGAUAAAUACGUGCCAGCAGCCGCGGUAAUACGUAAGGAGCAAGCGUUAUCCGGAUUUACUGGGGGUAAAGGGAGAGUAGGUGGCAGAGCAAGUCCGAAGUGAAAACCCCAAGCUCAACGCUGGGACUGCUUUAGAAACUGCUCAGCUAGAGUGCAGGAGAGGCGAGUGGACUUCUUUGUGUAGCGGUGAAAUGCGUAGAUAUUAGGCGGAACUCCAGUGGCGAAGGCGGCUUGCUGGACUGUAACUGACACUGAGGCUCGAAAGCGUGGGGAGCAUACAGGAUUAGAUACCCCAGUAGUC